AGGGUAUCAGAAUGUGUUACUUAUGUUCCUUAGGGGGGGGGAACACCACAACAAGGGAGGGAGUGUGAGGCUGGGAGUAUGGGAAAGGAAGGGAGAAGGGAAGGAAAGACAGGGAGGUAUAGGUAUAUGUGUGCGUGUGUGUGUGUGUGUGUGUGUGGGUGUGUGAGUGUAGCAACAAGAGUCAUUCAUGGUUCUUAUCGGCUACCCACCAUGUAAGAAGUAAGGAAGGGUCAAAGAAGGCAAGGAAAGAGGAAAGUUGGAAAGUUUCGUUUAGUCGGCGCAACAUCUGUGGUCAUAUGCCGGAAAGAGACAGAAGGGGAAGGAAUUAUAGAAGGGAACAGAUCCCAGGAGACGGGACACAACCCCCGAUUAAUACCUGGUACCCAUUCACUGCUGGGUGGACAGAGGAAAUAUAAGAGAGGAAUACAGAAAGGCAAAAUGAAUACGGCAGAAAGAACAGAUGCAGGAAAAGGAAACAUAUUAUAGCAUAAGGUUUUAAUCCGAGCAAAGAAUAAAUAUAAAGGAGGAAGGAGAUAUAGGAAGAAGGAAAAGGAAAUAAAGGAGGAAGGAGAAAGAAGGGAAAUGGGUAGGGAAUUAAGGACAGGCAUAAGAAAGGUAUAUUGCAGCAUAAUCCCAGUCACUCGUCAUGUCAGGUUGGGAUGGAAAGGAAAUCGGAAAUCGCAGAGCUUCGGAAAUCACAAAGCUUCGGAAAUCGCAAAACUUCAGAAAUUUCAAAGCUUCGGAAAUCUCAAAGCUUUGGAAAUCACAAAGCUUCGGAAAUCGCAAAGCUCCGGAAAUCACAAAGCUUCGGAAAUCGCAAAGUUUAAGAAAUCACGAGGCAAGUCGGAAAGCUUUAUGUGUGGUCGUGUCCUUAGAGAAUAACAAUAAGAGAAAGAAGAAUUUCCUGACACCAAAUAAAUGCUUCUAAAAAACUCAAAGAACUUGUACCAAACUAAAAAUACCUUUGAAAAUGCAUACUGAGUGGAUUACAAACUUAUGAGACAUGGCAAAUUAUAAAAAGAAAUGCCUAAACCAAAUGGAGACUUCUAAAAUACUUAAAAUUUAUACCAAACAAAAAAUAACUUAAUAAAUGCAUACUUGAUGUUGUAGAAACUUAUCAGACUUAGUAAAACAUAUAUUCACAGCUCCCUGCAAACCUUAAAACAUGGAUAUUAAAUGGUGUGAGACGUAUGAAAUAAUAGAAGGCAUGGUGGAAAUGAAAGAAUUCAAAGGUGCGUAAUUUAGACGAGGGAAGAAUUAAUGCUUGUGGAAAUACGAACACCUGGAAACUUGUGUGACUCAUAAUAGAAGAAAACACAAAGGAUGCCGAUGUGGAAAUAUGAGAAUUCAGAGGCACAUGGUAGAAAAAAUUAAUGUUUGCUGGAAAUACAACCACCCGGAAACUUGUGAGACUUAAAAAACAAGAAAAAACAAAGGAUGCAAUGUGGAAAUAUGAGAAUUCAGAGGCACGCAAUAGAAAAAAUUAAUGUGCGCUGAAAUACUAAAACCCAGAACUUGUGUGCGACUCAUAAUCGAGGAAAACACAAAGGAUGCCGAUGUGGAAAUAUGAGAAUUCAGAGGCACGCAGUAGAAAAAAUUAAUGUUUGCUGGAAAUAUGAAAACUUUGUGUCACUCAAAAAACAAGAAAAAACAAAGGGUGCCGAUGUGAAAAUAUAGGAAUUCAGAGCGCAUAGAACUUCGAAGGAAUCAAUGUUCACUAUAAUCUGAGUCACCAAUAACUGAGUGGCUCUUAAAACAACAAAAAGAAAGGAUGAACGGAGGAAAAAUGAGACUUCAGAAGCACAUGACAGACGAAGAAAGAAUUAAUGUUUGUGGAAAUACGAACGCCCGAAACUUGUGUGACUCAGAAAACAAGAAAACAAAAGGAGGAAGCGAGAAAAACAGAUCCGUGAAGAAAGGAAAAAAUGUCGAAAUAACACCGAGAACCGUUUGGAUUAUGAAGACGUGGAAAUAAGGAGUAAAAACAAAACGAAAGUCAAAUUCUGUGGGAAAGAGAAUACAGAAAAAAAACAUUGAAGUCAAUAGAAUAAAGGUUGAUAAUUUCUUAAACCUAGAACCGAAACCUCAAAAUUCGAAACCCAAAAAAUAGCUUGAACCCAAGAAUGUUGUUUACGAAGAGGAGAGCGAUGAGAACAAGCAAGAAAAAAACAUUGUAGUCGAUAGAAUAAGGUCGAUCGCUUCUUAAACUCAUCGACAUAAGAACCGAAACUUCCAAUUCGAAACUAAAAAAAAAAUAUUCGAACCCAAGAAUGUCGUUUACGCUAAAGAAAGCAAAUAAAAAACGAAAGCCAAGUGCCAUAGAAAUAAGAAUAAAUAAAAUAAGGUAUUAAGAUUGAUAGAACAAGGUCGAUAAUUUCUUAAACCCAUCGACAAAGAACCGAAACUUCCAAUUCGAAACUAAAAAAAAAUUAUUCGAACCCAAGAAUGUCGUUUACGUAAAGUUUCAAACAGGAAAGGAAACAGCUCAAGGGCAUAAUAAAAGAGUAAAGAAAAAAAAAAGAUUGAUGUAAAGAGUGGCCAAAAGAGGUCAAUUUCAGGUGGAGAGGCAUCGUGAUUCAUGCCAUAGACGACAAAUUUAAUUCUCCGUCAAUGAAAAACGAUCUUGCCCAAACAAUCACUGAGCCCAAACCAGCUUGCAGCCAAACCACAGGUCUCCUACACCACCCAAAUGUCAUGCAACAGGAUAACAGGCUACCCAAUCACAUUCAAGACCACUGACAAUCCUGUAGCAAUGAGAUCUAAUUCCAUUCCACUCAUUCCUAUUAUGCCGCCAUGCUGUGGACUCUCACUCUCCUCAUUCUCGUUCCACACUCCCGUCUUCCAGCAAUAAUGAGGUUUGAUCCCAUUCCACUCAUUCCUGUUAUGCCCCCAUGCUGUGGAUUCUCAUUCUAGUUCCACUCUUCCAUCCUCCACUUCUCAGCAUGCAAGGGUAGGCCAGAGGAGCGAAGACACUUUGCUUAUCGAAUUUGAGGUGAGAUAUGCAAAAAGUGAGGUUCCAUUUUUGCACACACUCCCCUUAACUUGCUAGAAAGGGACGAGACACAAAUGGAAGUUAUGUGGUGUGUUUUGAGCUUAAUGAGAAUAUGGAUUAGAACAAAAGGGUAAGGUCUGAUUCUGAGACAAGAUAUGCAAAAAGUAAGGUUCCAUUUUUGCACACACUCCCCUUAACUUGCUAGAAAGGGACCAGACACCAAUGGAAGUUAAAUGGUGUGUUUUGAGCCUAAAGACGAGAAUAUGUAUCAGAACGCAAGGGUAAGGGGUAGUGGAGGAGCGAUCAGAACAGCAACAUUCUUUUAACUUGAGGACAGAGAAUAUGUAUUAGGACAUAAGGGAAACAGUCGUGACAGGGGUAGUGGCAGUAGUUGUGGUGGGUAGGAGGACCAGUAAUAAUAGCAACAGUAGUAGUUGCAAUAUACAUGAACUGCACUGUGGGACGAAGGUUGAAAAUUUAGAAUGGAGGAAUUUCAGUAACAGCAAACCUUCAGAAGGGGUGAAUUUCAGUAAUGGCCAACUCAUAUAUUGAUUAAUGGAUGAAUAAAUAUAUGAGUUGAAGACUGGGGAAGCAGCCUUGAGGUCACAUAAGCAGCAGAAUACACAGUGGUCAAAACAGCUCAGGAAAUGACGGAAGAAGAGCCCCUUAAGAGACUGGUAGGUAAAGUUAGGGACAGCAAGGCAGCAAUGAGUUACAGGCUUACAGGUUACCACUGGAAGAGCCCCUUAAGAGACUGGUAGGUAAAGUUAGGGACAGCAAGGCAGCAAUGAGUUACAGGCUUACAGGUUACCACUGGAAGAGCCCCUUAAGAGACUGGUAGGUAAAGUUAGGGACAGCAAGGCAGCAAUGAGUUACAGGCUUACAGGUUACCACUGGAAGAGCCCCAUAAGAGACUGGUAGGUAAAGUUAGGGACAGCAAGGCAGCAAUGAGUUACAGGCUUACAGGUUACCACUGGAAGAGCCCCUUAAGAGUGUUUGGUAAGGCAGGGAAGGGCAGGGAAGGGCAGAUGAGUUACAAUGGCAUUUAUAUUAGACUGGAGGACCCCUUUAAGAGUCUGUUUGGUAAGGCAGGGAAGGGAAGGGAAGGGCAGAUGAGUUACAAUGGCAUUUAUAGUAGACUGGAGGACCCCUUUAAGAGUGUUUGGUAAGGCAGGGAAGGGCAGGGAAGGGCAGAUGAGUUACAAUGGCAUUUAUAUUAGUCUGCAGGACCCCGUUAAGAGUCUGUUUGGUAAGGCAGGGACAGCAAGGUACAUACUACAGUCUUCCUCAUCCG